AUAUUUAAUACUAUAUAUAUUUUCAUUAAAAUCAUAUAAGAAUACAAAUCCAUAACUCCAUGAUCUUUAAAAAUAGGAAAGGAAAAAUAACUAAUUAUUAGGUGUCAACAAACUUAUUAAAUCACAUACCAUGAUAAUUUUAUCAUAAACAAUUUUUAAUUGAUCUUUUUCUAGUGCAAGAAAUCAUUCGUUUGAGCAAGACUUUUGUGCACUCUCUUUGUACUUGCACUCCAAAGAGUUUUUGAAAGAUUUAAAGGAAAACAAUUACAUUUGUAAUCGCGACAUUCCGCAAUCCGAGGAAGCACAUACUUAAUUUUGUUUUUACAGUCAUCAUGAUUCUCACAAUCGAAAAAUGCUGUAAGAGAAAAAGAGAACAUUAGAAUGUUAUGUUACUAAACGGGGAUAUGAGAUUAUGUUAGACGUAAAGAAAAAAGUUUUAAAUGAAUGAAAAAUGAUUUACCUUGAACAUUUAUAACAAGAAAUAGAGAAAUAAAGUAGAUCAAAACAUAAAAUAACUUCAUAAUUAUGAUAUUAUUAUAAACAGAAAAGGAUU
rnacentral:lncRNA from 1 species